UGUUCAGGUAUUGACGGUAUUUAACCAGAAAGCCACGGCUAACUACGUGCCAGCAGCCGCGGUAAUACGUAGGUGGCAAGCGUUGUCCGGAUUUAUUGGGGCGUAAAAGCGAGCGCAUGCGGUUUUUUAAGUCUGAUGUGAAAGCCUUCGGCUUAACCGAAGAAGUGCAUCGGAAACUGGGAGACUUGAGUGCAGAAGAGGACAGUGGAACUCCAUGUGUAGCGGUGAAAUGCGUAGAUAUAUGGAAGAACACCAGUGGCGAAAGGCGGCUGUCUAGGUCUGUAACUGACGCUGAGGCUCGAAAGUAUGGGUAGCAAACAGGAUUAGAUACCCUGGUAGUCCAUACCGUAAACGAUGAAUUGCUAAGUGUUGGAGGGUUUCCGCCCUUCAGUUGCUGCAGCUAACGCAUUAAGCAUUCCGCCUGGGGAGUACGGCCGCAAGGUUGAAACUCAAAGGAAUUGACGGGGGCCCGCACAAGCGGUGGAGCAUGUGGUUUAAUUCGAAGCUACGCGAAGAACCUUACCAGGUCUUGACAUAUUAUGCAAAUCUUAGAGAUUAGACGUUCCCUUCGGGGACAGAAAUACAGGUGGUGCAUGGUUGUCGUCAGCUCGUGUCGUGAGAUGUUGGGUUAAGUCCCGCAACGAGCGCAACCCUUAUUAUCAGUUGCCAGCAUUAAGUUGGGCACUCUGGUGAGACUGCCGGUGACAAACCGGAGGAAGGUGGGGAUGACGUCAAAUCAUCAUGCCCCUUAUGACCUGGGCUACACACGUGCUACAAUGGACGGUACAACGAGUUGCGAACUCGCGAGGGUAAGCUAAUCUCUUAAAGCCAUUCUCAGUUCGGAUUGUAGGCUGCAACUCGCCUACAUGAAGUCUGGAAUCGCUAGUAAUC
rnacentral:rRNA from 2 species